rnacentral:rRNA from 1 species
CCGUACCCCGAAGUGAGGGAUACCGGCGAGAAAUCGCCGACAAUACCGCAUACGCUUCUGUCUUGAGAGAGAGAGAAGCAAAGUCUCGCGCAGGCGAGGCGCUUUGGGAUGGGCCUGUGGCCGAUUAGCUAGCUGGUGGGGUAAAGGCUCACCAGGGCGACGAUCGGUAGCUGGUCUGAGAGGACGAUCAGCCACACUGGGAUUGAGAACGGCCCAG